GGUCACAGGGAUCCGGGACCAGGUCACGAGUGGCAGCGACUCCUCAGAUUUGGGAGCUCUGGUCCAGCCCCACGACCCCGACCCCGUCCCAAAAAUCCCGACCCUAAAGAGGGACUGGAAGGAGCCGGAGCCGCCCCCGGAGCUCUCGGAAACCUCAUUUGGAACCUCGGGAAAAAGGAAUUCAGCCACGGGCCCCACAGACCCCA